AGGCAGAGGGCCCGGCUUUAGCUGCUUGCUUUCUGAAAUCCCCAACAACGUAUGAAAUGUAGGUGGCAUACAUUAUCCUUUUUGCUAAAAUGAAAAUAAAAACUUCCGUGAUUGGUGGCUGAAGCUAAUGGGAAUUGAUAAAUUACUUUCCAUCCCAGUGGACAUGAAAUCUCCGAAGUUUUGGAUUUCAAUUGAAUGAGAAAUUACUUCUGCAACCAGUCAGCAGGAUCGAAUAUAACUGUGUUUUUUUAAUCUUAUCAGAGUGUGACAAAAAUCAGAAAAUUCAUAGCUGUGUGACUGCAGUAUGUGAAUGCACAAGUUGCAGAUACACUGUUUAGAGAAUUGUAAUUUAUGAGUGCCACCUCCGCAUUCGCAACGCUUGCUUAAAAUUUAGGGAUUCCUGGGAUGCUGGGAGACAGCUCCUCCACUCCCAUUAUGGCACAGCCUCAGGGGCCUGCAGGGACCAUGCAGCAAGGGUGGCUCUUUCCGCCACGCAGGACCUGCUUUCACACACUCCAAGCACUCAGAAGCAACAGCUGGUUAAAAUGCUGUUCUGAGGAGGAAGCCACUGGGUCCUCUCUACUUCUUCUGUAUCUUUCUUUGGCAGCUUCAGCAAUAAACAUGUCCAGGUAGUCUUUUAGAGUAAUGUGUUGCUGAUUUACUCAUUCUGCCCUGGGAGAAGGGGUGUGGAUCACCAGGUAUACCACUGUGCUCUCAUGAGCCCCAGCUUUAGCAGACAAAAGCAAGGUAUCAUUAGAAAAGGGAGAAUUUCAGAGCUUCACCAGGAAGAGGUAGAAGAUAAACUACCCUCAGGAGGCACAUGCCUUCCAAACAGCCAGGACUGGCUACAUGCAGGUGCUGUAGUGUGUGCUGUAGUGUGUACAUGCAGGAGUGUGUUGUUACACUCCAUCUCCCCCAGAUAUAAAUAGCAAUGUCAGCCAGGCGUGCCUUCAGCCAGCCAAUAGCUUGCACGCAUUCCUCCCAAGCCACAACAAUCUGUGCUUUUGUCAGCUCCAGCCUGCAUUGUACAACAUGUUGCCCGGAGAAGAUACCAGUGCCAGUGGUCCAAGUCACCCACAGCAAAUCCAGGCCAAUGUGCUCAAACACAGGCCUCAGACAUGCUGUGCAGUUCGCCCUCUCCACCUGCCUCUGUCUUUCUACUGUCCCUCAGCUGCAAGAUGGCAGUGUCUCCAGGCCCGCCUGGCCACGGAGCUCAGCACAGCCCUGUGCCCCACAGGCCCUGAGGAAGCCCAUCAGCAUGGCUUGGCAGGGUUUCUCCUGAAGCAGGGCUCACACUGGGGAUGAUCUAAUUUAGGAAUGUGGCAGAGAGUUCAGAUGCUUAUCCAGAGUUUAAAGAGUAGACAAACCUUUUAUCCUACAAGAUCUGGCUAGGUCCUCUGGUCCUUAUUCAGGCAAAACUAUAGCUGGCUUUAACGGGAACUUUGGCUGGGGAAAAAAAAAAAGAAGAAGAAGAAGAAAAAAAAAAGAAAAACACCUGCAAGAUUUAACUUUUCCCUGGAAUUUUCAUGAGAUUUCUGGUUGGUUUUGCUCAAACUACAAAAGCAAUUUAAAUGCUCAUUCACCAUUCAGCCUGCAGUCACAGCCUGGAUCCUCAACCACCGUAAUAAGUGUCAGUGAAAAAUAACUGAGGAAAACUGAAGUGAGAGAGAAAAUAGAGAAAGAUCUUGUGCACUGGACAAACGUUACAAGAAAUGAUUUCAUUCCAGAAUUUGCAGGGCAGAAGUAAAGCGUGCUGUCUUAUUAUGCAGUAAGAUAUGCAUAUUUUAAAUAUGGAUGUUAUAUAAACAUGACAGUCACAUGCAUCACCACAUUCACAGAAAGUUCUCUCUUGGGCUGUGCCCAAUACACACAUUUGGUCUGAAAUAUGUAUGACCACCAACAGCUGCUGGUGCUGUACAUCUACAUAAGCAAGACAAAGAGAGAGUGCUGCUGCAGUGCACAAGUAGUUAUUUGUGGAGGCUCUGUAUGAAAAAGCUGGUCAUUUCCUCUCCUUCAGUAACAAGCUCGAUAGCCAUCUAAUCGUGUAUGGUAGGAGUGUAACUGCCUACUUCCCACUAUAGCCACAAGAUAGCAUUUUAUUUCUGGUUCAUCUAGCUGUUUGGUCUGUUGUGUCCCUGAGGAUAAUUAGUCCUGAACACAGGGAAAGUACUUAUCUUGCACCAGGGAUAUUCUGUCAAAUACCUCCUCACACAAAAACUCAUUUAAAAGGAUAAAAAACACUACCUCAGGAAUUGAAUACAUCUGCGGGCUUCUAGUCACUUCCAGCAGGUGACAUAUCUGAAAUCACAGAGCCUCACUUUGGUGACUAGGUAGGAGCCAAUUAGCUUCAUUUUGAACUGGGAAAACUGCAUCAUGACAGCCUCCAAGGAGCAAGUCCUAUCUGUUGUAAACAAAUCUGAUUUGCUCUGUUUUGCUUCCCCACAAAUACUGCACAUCGGUUACAGAUAAAGUUGCUUUACAGGGUAAGCCCCCACCAUCACUGAAAACAGGCAUUGUUUUUCUUCUCCCCAGGAGAGGAAGAAUAAAUGUGACAGUUCGCAGUCACCACUGGUAGUGGCUGGAAACUAAACUCUCUCACCAGAAGUUCUCCCCAAGGCUUCUUUAAAUAUUCCAUGACUAGCUAUGUCCAAAUGCAUUUCCCAGAGGAUCAAAGUACAUUUUUCUUUCACUUGACAGAAGGCACUGAGUUGUUGCUAUCAGUUUGCUCUUACAAUCCUUUUGCAUCACCCGCUCACAGAAAUAAACAUUCUUUGAGGUUUUUCCUGAUGCAGUAACUGACCAUGCCACCACGGCUUUAUUUUGGCCAUAGACGCCUGUGGCAUUUCUGCAAGAGGACAAGCAUCUCGUUCAGACCCCAUUAAAAGAGAGCUCAGUUCUUACAGCAGUUUGACAAGUCUGAUAAAGAGAAAGAAAACCAAAUUACUAGGACUUGAAAUAUAAAGUAGAUGAACCAAUCUAGAGAUGCUGCAUGAAAGAAGGUGGAUUUUUUUCUGGACAAGGAAUGACUUGAGAGCAGCCCUGAGGAGAAGGAUUUGGGGGUGCUGGUUAAUGAAAGACUGAACAUGAGCUGGCUAUAUGCACUUGCAGCCCAGAAGGCCAACUGUGUGCUGGGUUACAUUAUGAAAAGAAUGAAAGAAAAGCAAGGAAGAUGAUUCUGCCCCUCUACUCUGCUCUUGUGAGACCCACCUGGAGUACUGCAUCCAAUUCUGGGGCCCUCAACACAAGACAGACAUGGAGCUGUUGGAGUGGGUCCAGAGGAGGGCCACAAAGAUGAUCAGAGGGCUGGGACACUUCCCCUACGAAGAGAGGCUGAGAAAGUUGGGACUCUUCAGCCUGCAGAAGAGAAGGUUUGGGAGACCUUACAGCGGCCCUUCCAGUAUCUGAAGGGGGCAUACAGGAAAGCUGGGGAGGGACUUCUUAUAAGGGCAAGUAGAGACAGGAUGGGGGGAAAUGUCUUUAAACUGGAAGAGGGUAGAUUUAGACUAGAUAUUAGGAAGAAGUUAUUUACGGUGAGGGUGGUGAGACACUGAAACAGGUUGACCAGCAAGGCUUUGGUUCCCCCCCUCCCUGGAAGCCUUUGAGGCCAGGCUGGAUGAGGCUUUGAGCAACCUGGUCUAGUGAAAGGUGUCCCUGCCUACAGCAGGGGCUUGGAGCUAGGUGAUCUUAAAGGUCUCUCCCAGUCCAAACCAUUCUAUGAUUCUUUGAUAGUCACUUCAGCAGUUGAAAAAGAAAUUUUUUGGUUUAAGUCCACCAUCUUUCCACCAGGCCUACUGCUAUCCAUGUCAGUAUUUUUUUCCCCACUUAUGAAUGAAUUUCUCCUUUUACAUGUAAAUAAGAGACUGACCUAUACAGAGUAGGUAAAUCAAGAAGCGUAUUAAGAUGUUCCACCUGUCCCAAAAUACUCCGGCAUGCUACACAUGAGCUGAUACUCACUUUCAACUUUAAAGUUGCUGAGACUGGAUAGUGUCCCCCAGAUAUUUUCUAAUAGGAUCCAACGUUUUGCAACAUGCCCAUCUAGAGACCUGAUCUAUCAGGAAAUGAGAUCUGAACACCUAUGUGGCUUUUGUUCAGCACAAGACGGAGCACAAGAGUCAGGAUAUUCUCACUGCCUAAAGCCAGAAAGGAAGCAAGUCGCCUUGUACAACUCCUGGCUGUAUUUUCCAAUUUUCAUUCUUCCCUCCCAUUCAGCUGUCCCAUCAGGUUUGCAUCAGAGCUGGCACGCAUCUGAACUCCCGCCUGGCCCAGCCUUUGUCAUUAUGCCCUUCAAUGCACAAAGUUCGGUGCGUUUUCCACUCUUCAGUAGGAGGUGCAAGGGCUGGAAAAACUGGCAGUAGAGCACAUAUGCUCCUUUUAUCCCAGCACUUUCCCUUGUGACUGCAUUUACUCUCUCACACGGACUCAGGAUGUUAACUAAACUGACAAGGACUAGAUAGCAGAGAGAGGAAGGAAGGAAGGAAAGCAUCUGCAUUUCCAAUCCAGUGACUGCAAAUAAAGUUCCUCAACUUUUAGAAGUCUCUCAAGCACAGCAUACACAGGGUUUGGAGAAGCCAGGGGCUUCUGAUGAAAGUGCUGUGCUGUUAUUUUCAGUGCCACAGCCAGGCUGGGAUUACGUUUUGGUCUUCUGAGAAAAGGAAGCUGGUUGUCACGUCUACUUCUGCUCUUUUUUAAAACUCUCAAAGAAACUUUGCAACAUAAAAUCACUGAGCACCUACAAAGAAAGCUUUACAAAGGGACACCACUUACUGCCUCAAACUCAGUUUCCAUCACCUCCUGCACAAUUCAUCCAUGCUACACAAAGUCCUAAACAGCACACAUCCUAUCUUUCCCAGUGCAAACAGAUACAUUUUUUUUUUAACUGUAAAGCCAGGCUUUUUGUUUAACACAGUGAAAAAUCACACAUAGCAGGAGCCUGCUGUUAGCAUAACUUACGGUAAUGAAUCAGUUAGCAAGGAGACUGGUGAAAAGAUUGAUUCAUGACAUGAAAAGGGUAACUGGAUCCUUUCUUUUGCCUCCUUAAUUUGCCAACAUACCUGCCCUUACCAGCACCUUUUGAAGCUGUUGCCACAGCACUACUCUUCCUUCUUGGGCUUCAGCAGUGGGUUGAACACAUCAUCUCUUUGCAGACUGCUGAAGAGCUGCAUCACAAGUGAGACUGGAGGUUGGUUGGAAGUCCCUUGAAAUCCAAGCACUUGUGCUCAGGAAGAAUUCACUCCACAUUUCUUCCUUCUUGCUGAAGGCUGGAUGUGCAAAUCCAUCUUAUUUUCACUUGACUCACACUGUGAAGACACAUACUGUGAUGUGGGGUGAUAUUAGCUGUAGAAAAGAAAAAGCUUUAAGACCACUGGGCCUCAAAAUGUGUCAAAACACACCAGGCAUGAGAAUCUGCCAUUUCUCUAUGGGAGGAGGCUGAUCUCCCCACAAAGGGCCAAGCAAGCUGUGCUCCAAGGACCUGCUCUCAUCCACUCAUCCAAACCCACACAGGGGAGCACAGCCAGGAAGAGCCACAGGACCUGCCAUCCCCUGUGCUGCCACCCAGCUCUCUUCCCUCUUGGGGGCUCAGAGCCUGAGCCAAGGUAUUGUUGCCUUUGAGGUUCAUUCUUUUAAAAAACUGACUGACGAUCAAUAUGCGAAAGCUGAGCUGUGCUUUGGGGCUCAGGGAUGGACAGCAAGAGUGCUGGAGCUGGCCUAAGGCAUGCACUGCCUGGGACAGUUGCUCCUUACCUGAGGCUGCACAUUUUGUAACUAAAGUUGGAGGAUGAGUUACCAGGGAGGACUUCAGGGAAGGUGACAGGAAGGAGGACAGCUGGUGUAGCUCCUCUAGAGUAAGCCAUGACUGAAAAGAGAACGGAGGCCCUGACCUGGAUACGGUCCUGGACAACCUGUUCUGGCUGGCCUGAGCAGGGAGUGGACCAAGUGGCCUCCAGAGGUCCCUUUACCUCCAGCAGCCCGUGACUUGGCUUGAUGUGUCCGGAGUGGCACUCCCAUGCCCACAGCCAUCCACUUGUAGCCUUGGGUAAUUUCUUUGCACCAGUGCCUCAGUACUUAAAGCAACACCGAUAACACUUCCAGAACUACACCCUAAAUAGUCUUUGGGACAGAAAUAAAAUUUUGAUUAAGUAGGAAAGCCUUUAUAGGUUAAUUAAAUAACAACUGCUAAACCAUAGCCAACCAGUCAUUAUCUGUGUUUUGAUAUGGACUUAUUACAUAACUGUUAAACUUGGUAUUUAGCAGAUAGCUUCCCUAUUUGAAGGACUAAACAUCUAUUUGAGAUACUUCAUUUUUAAAUGUCACCAUUUCGGUUUACUAGACUUCUUGCUGUGCUUAACACAAACAGUGGGUAUUUAAAGUAAUAACAAAUCAGCUGUCAGCUGGGAGCACUCAGCAGAAGGUAGGGCCUGUCCUGUGACAGCCCUUGCCCUGCUGCUGGGAGAGUCCCAGGGAGGGUCAUGACGCCUCCAGGCCACCCCUCAACUAGCUCUGGACCUUAGGGGCUGAUGGGGAGAAGUAUCAGCACGCCUUCUGAAAAGUGGCUUCUCAGCUCCAGAAGCACCAGCCUGGUUCUCCCAAAUAGUCUUUUACCGCUUCCUGGCAGCAUUCUAUGAAGGGUGACAUGGAGUAGGAUCCCCUGACCAACCGGUGCCAGGCUGUGGCAGGUGCAGGGCCACUAUCUCGCUGCUGCACCCGGAGCUCCUGUGGGCCAUGAACUCCAGCUGCCAUGGGAUGAAAUACUUGCAUGCACCGAACCAAAGACCAUCCCCAACUGCUUUUCAAGCAGGCAUUUUUCUUCAGAGUCUACAUGGAUGGAGAUAGCUUUGCCACCACUCAGUUUCUGCUGUCAUAAUUCUCCUGCUAACAGAUAAGAAACGGUGAAAUGACAUCCUGCCCAAAGAGUCUGAAUGUCUGUACCCACCUGGGGCACGGUCCUGGUACCAAGGCACUACACCCAUAGAGCCUUAUGGCCACAUUAUUUCUCCCUACAUUCAAUUUUUUUGUAAAAGUGCUGUUAUAUUUCUCGGAAGGCUCUUGCAGCUGUUAUCACAUUGGCAAGCAAUGGCUGGGGCCUUCAGCCAUCUCUGGCAACAAAGAGGUUAAGCAUCAGCGAGCCUAGAAGGCUGGCUUUUGAGGGGUGGGUUUAGGAAGCAAAGUUAACAAUAUAAGAAGAGGAAGUGCUGGCCAUCCGUUUGUUUGUUUAUUGUUUCAGCAGUUUGUGCUGUGUGUCUCGUGUGCUAUCUCCAUCCCUCAGUCUCCCAGCCAGUUCAUUAUGCACGGGAAGAGGUGCUUCCUGCCAGCGACCUCCUGGGUCCCCUCCCAUUGUUCGCAGGGCUGAUGUAAAGUGCUGGGGGCGGCAGAAAGGGCUGCAAGCCUGCAAGAAAUACUCCAGAGACCUUCUUCAGUUAAUAAAACAGAUGGCCUUAUUGGCGUAGGCAAAUUUCAACGCUAGCAUUGCAUUUAAUAGGGUUCAUCCAAAGAAAAUCCCAAGAAAAAUAAAGUGAGGAGUUUAGGUUGUCAGAGCCAGAGGGAUAAAUACAGGAGAGACAAGAGGAUGAGCCAUACCUCUGGCAUACCCAGCAGCUCUGCCGUGCCUCUGUAGCCUUCAGGGACUAAGGUUGCUCAACGCCUCCUUCUCUGCUAGGACCUAUUAGUCAGAAGCAGAGGUGCUCCCUGCCUCCAACAGCUAAGCUCUGAUGGCCUAAAUGUCACCCCAGUCUCUGUGCAUAGCAAGGUCUUUAAGUUCCCUAAAUUAGGGCACCUGGGUCCUCCUUGAAGGCCCAGCGCUCUCCCUUCACCUGGUAGAGGAGCAAACAAGCAAGAGACUCUAAGCCCCUAAGACCAUCAGAACUUUGUUUUCUGAAGCUCCAGUGCCCUAUGCACCCCCAAAGUUCCUUCCCUAUGUUUCUGUAGUGAUCAGGCUAUAACACCUUGCAGAAGGAGUGUGCUUCUCAGAUGCUGUAAGAACACUUUUUUUUUUUUUUUUUUUUUUUUUUUUGAAAGAACACUUUGUACAAUCCCUGAGCUGGGCCUGAAGCAACACUAACAAUAACAAACAGCAAUGAGCUGGAGCUGCAGAGCUGGGAUCCAGAUGUGUACCUGAACUUCCCUAAAAUUUAAGGGUCUUUAAGUCUGGCAUGGGUUAAUCUCCAUAAAAAACGUGAAGAUGAAGGGGAAGAAAAGGGAAAAAUGCAAGCAGAAUACAGUUAACAAGACACAUGGGAGGAUGUCGCCUUCUCUGUGUGCUUGGUAACUGCAGCCUCUUGAAGGUGUGUCCCCAGCUUCUGCACAGCCAGGAGCUGUCAUUAGCCAGAAAUAAAAGGAUUUCUGCUCACUCACACUGGUGAAAGUAAAGCAAUCUGUUUUGAAAAACAGCUUUAAAGCACACAUUGCCACUUUUGAUUAUAAAAAUCCUAGAGGAAUGUGGGCUUUGCUUUAAAUCAUGUACUUUUUUUUUUCACUUUCUCACUGUACGUUUACUUUUACACAGGUACUUUUCUAGCACACGCCUUUAGAAACAUCCAUGAAAACUGUGUCCCAUUUUUCCACUUUCAUUGCUUCUAAAGGUCAAAAGUCUCUCAUCUGAGGCUUUGGAGGAAAAGAAACCUCUCAGUUCCUGGGCUUUCUCUCUGGAGAGAGUCGUCAUUUCCAGGGAAGGGCCGGUGCCUCCCCUCUGGGACAGGAAGCGGCCACAGGAGCACUGUCAUCACUGAAAGUUUUCUUUCAUGCGGAAAUAUUAUUUACACAUGCCACGUCCAAAAGACAACAGUGGCAAGGAGGACUGGCAAGCAACUCUGCUUUAAAUAACCAUUUUCUAAGGCAGGGAGGAGCAUUUUUGUGGCCGUUUCCGUAACAAAGUGUUCCACUCGCUUCUGGCCUAGCUAUGCAGCAUCGUGCUCGUGCAUUCCUAACAGCAGCCUUCCCUUCCCUUCCCUGUCCGCCUUUUGUCAACAAAUAUGUAAGAAAAGAAUUUCACCAUGUCAGGAAUUUUAUGCUUUUGAAACAGAGCUCGCACACUUGACACGACCCAGCCCCCGGACGGAGCUGAGCUGCUGCCCAGAUGGGAGGUCAGUCAUGAUUUUUUACAGAUGUUUGGGAACAAAUCAGUGCUUAAAAGAAAAAAAAAAAAAAAAUAAGAGUCUCCAGACAGUUCAGAGUCACGAUAAAUAAUUUAGAGAGUGAUUAGAGAAAUCAUGUGAAAGAGCUUUAAGGCUGGAUCUUUCGGCUCCCUGAUGGGGAUACAUUUAAAUUAAACAGCCAGUAAAUAACAAACCAAAGACCAUCAUGCCACUGGAUAGUGAAAGCUGUUAAAGAGCUGGAUUGAAAUGAUGAGUGGAUAUCGAGUGCUUUCAGUCAUUUCCCUCAUCCAUCCUUGGGUGAUGAGGGAAAAAAAAAAAAAAAAAAAAAAGGAAAAGCAGUAAAGAAUGAGUAGAGCUCUGACAUUGUUCAUCUCCUCUUUCCUGGUGCAGAAGUCGCCAGAGAUGAAGGAACAGAAGGAAAGCAGAAAUUAUUCAUUUCCUCCCCUCCCUCCCCCUGGAGAAAGAAGGAAUAGGACAGUCACAUAGGCAGGAUGCAAGUCUCCGUCACAGGGAAUGCAGAAUGGUCCUGGUCUGUCAGAGUAAAAACCUGCAAGAGCAGAGGGAUGCCCUCCAUAAAUUAUGUAUUUUGCCUGGUCUUUGUUAGCUUGCAUUAUUUAAUAUUUUAAACAAUUACAAAAAGCCCUGACAACAACUCUUUCAAAUAUACUGUGGCAACUGAACUACUUAAAGACCUGUUUCUCCUCCAAAGUUUCUUUGGGGCACAAAUUAAUUUCUGACCCAAUUUUCAAAUACUUCUAAGUGAAGACUGGAGGGAGAAGAGGCUACCCAUCUGCCAAAGGACUAAGGGAAGGGGUGAGUUAACCUAGACAGAACUAAAAGUUCAAGGUAACCUGUACCUUAUGGAUGGGAAGGUUAAACAACAAACACUCUGGACUUAAUAUUACUUGGCAAAAUUCCUAAGAUUGUAUAUAAUUGCCCAUACACCUUUUGUGACAUCCAGGCAGACUACUGGCAGAGCAGUAGAUUCCUCACCUUCCUUCAGGAGGACAGAGGACAGUCUGCUUCAUGAAGGACACAUUUCUCCUCUGCACUGUGAAACAAGCCCACUGCUCACAUCAGCAGGGACGGUGCAUCAUUAAGGACGCUAGAUUAGGCUCAAUGCAUAAGAAGUUUCUUGCUGCCUCUGCAAAGGCAAAUGCACACCAGUAGUAAGAGUAGGUGAUGCUCAAUAACCAGGAAAAACUCUCUCUGUCCAUCUGUAUUAAAGCUACUGAGUGAUGCCUGACUACAAAGGACACCAGCUGCAUCCUGGUGACUAAAGCUAAAUUUGGCAAUGGGGCACCAGAGCAGUGUUUAUGGAAUCUGAGGCAGGAUAUAGACUGUAAACAUUGUUUCCCUGAGAUCUUGCUAUGCAUUGCUCAAAAUUAUUUUCAAAGACAACUCAUUAACCCUCCGCCCACUCUUCUCUGAGGUUGGAUAUGAUGUUUAACAGAAAAAUAACAGUCUUCUCUGACUGGAGGCCAGGGCCUAGGCUCCUUCUUUCCCUUUCUUCAAGAUAUUUCCUUAACAGUACAAAUAUUCUGGGGAAUGUCCUGAGCCAAACUAUGCUUUUGUAAUAUCAAUUAUCUGCAUACAUAUGCUGCAUAGGACAGAGCCUUGUUAAUUAAGAAAUUUUCUCGGACUGCCUAUUUCACCAGGUAAGCAACUAGCAGAUAAAGAAAAGCAAUGUUCAUCCAACCCCUGCUAACUCACAUGCUCCUUAACUUUGACUGCUUGUGGUUGCUUUAGGGGCUAGGAGGAGAACACAUACCACAUCUCUGCCAAUGUCAAGUCUAAGUUACUUGCAGGCAGAAGGAUGAGCUUUCUCCCCUUUGGUAACAAGUGGUAACACCAGCAACAGCAGAAGCAGUAAAGCCUUGUUCCCAUGAUUGAAGUACUCAGCUGAGCUCUGUGUGGGAUUUCUAGCAAAGAAUGAACUUGCAGCCCAGCUUCCUCCUCACUGGAAGCAGGAGGAACAGCUCUCACAGGAGAUUUCCUCAGAGCUCGUGGAUUUGCUGUCCUCAUGGGGACAGCUUGGAACGGCCUGGCACAGCUACCCACACAUAGCAAUUGCCUGAACCUUGUGUCCUCACUCAGUCAACCUUCUUCUUGCUGAGGCCAAUUUGAAGACUAAAGGGUUUAAACCACAGACACUGGCAGGAACUACAGAAGUCAGAAAACCUUAGCACUUUUCCAUGUUUCAUUAGCACCUGUCCUCCCAGUGGCUCUUCACUUCAGGAAAUUAUGCUUAUUUUGUGGACAAGGAAACCAAGGCACAGCUUUUCAAAGAGACUUGUCAAAGAUCAGACACAGCCCCAGAUGUACCUGUUGCAGGUGUGCUCCUGCCCCAGGUGUAGUUGACCAACCAGGCUAAGGUCUCCGUCACAGCCACUGGGCCGUGGCAUGGGGAGGUCACAUCGGGGACCCAGUGCAUAGGGCCGGUGAUGGGAGGCCUCCUGCCCAGGCAGCCUCCCUCCUCUGCCCAGACGAGCUGCAUGGUGUGUGCAAAUGCCGAAACAAUUGCUUCUGCAGUGCCAGAGUUAGUUACGUCUGAAAGGGUACCACCGCACAGUGCGACAUGUCAUUAGGCUGCCGGCUGGGCACUGGAAGAUGGAUGUGUUGUUCACUUUGGUGCAGGCAGUUAACAGCACAGCUAUUUGGUUACAUGAAUUUACAAGCUUAGCUGCCAAGUAAGGGAGACCACAGGUUAACAGCGAGGGGUGAAGGUGCUUGUAAAGGUGCAGGCUGAGCCCUGAACCAAGGCGAUUACAGCUCACUGGGAGUUUCUGAAGCCCAUUAGUGCCAGAGCAAGGAGCUGUCAAGAUCCACAGAUGAGCAGUUAAGUUUGCAAGCUCAGAGGUAACCGUGCGCAGGGAAGGGAAUUUGCUUUACUCUCACAUAUUCUCUCCCUUUUCUCUUUCCCUCACUGAACAGCCCUGUGCACACUAGCCCCAAGCCGCCCCACUGGGGACAAACCUGCCAGCCUGUCCUCCCCUGAAACACUGGGCUCCUCCCCACCCCUGCAGCUCUCAGCCUCACAGGCAUCAUUCCUGUGGGUGCCAGCACUGCCAAGGAGCCCUUCCACCAGAAAGCACUGCUGUACUCCAACUAGACUGAAUAGGUUCUACAGCAGGCAUGCAAAACCACUGCACACUCUGGAAAGUAACAGCUAAUAGUUUUCCCUAAUGGGCGUCUUAUUUCCUUACACUAUCUUCUCCCUUGAAAUAAAUAAUGGUACUUCAAGGUGUCAGACAAACAGUCGCACUUUAAUUUCUCCCUUUGGCAAGCCCAGCCACUAAUUCAGUCUUGUUAUGGUUUUCCCACUAGGGACAAAAUAUAUACUGAGCUUUGAAAACACAUUGUGUAGCAGCAAUUGUUGCUCUAAGCCAAUGGCUGUUUUGCUUUGUUCAGCACUGUAUGCUUGUGUCUACUGUGAGAUAUUGUUUUGUUAAGACCUGUUAUUGAUUAACAGGGAGAGGAAUUGAAUUCCAGAUGGGAGAUGCUGAAACACUCUAAAAUGCUGCAUAAAAAAUGCAAACAUUUAAAAUCAUCUUAAAGGAAGGUAUCUCUCCUAAACCAGAUCCAUUUCUCUUUUCAGCUGUACCAUCUGCAGCAUAUCACCUAAGGGCAUUCUUACAGUUCAACUUGAGGAUAAAGGUCUUGUCCUCAUGCCGAUUCAGAGCUGAUGAAUUUGUCGUCGUGCAAUUUUGGGGGCCAGUUCACCCCUGACACUUAAGUGCUGCAGCCAAGGGUAACAUUAAGUUCCUGGGAACUCUACAUAGAGCAGCUUUGGACAUUUGUCCUGUAUCCUUCAGUUGCCUCAGAAGUACCACAGUCCUCAGUGUGAAUAUAGUAAUGGGUAAGUAGGCAUAAAGUUGUCCUAGGCCCCUACAUCUUCCUCUUCUGCCCUACAAAAAAGAGAUCAAUUAUCAUCUAUAGGUUGAGUGUCAUCUAUAGCAGAGAAUUUUUGUUGCUGUAACUGCAGAGUUCCAUGAGAGCCAGCACAAAGGUAGUGCCCAAGCCAUGGGCAACUGCCCCAGUGCAUCUUGACCCCUCUUGGUGGCACCAGCCGGACUCCAAGCUGCAGCACUGAAAGGCUCAUGGUGAUUUUGCAGUCUUCUGCUCCAGGCAGUUGCACAUGUGUUAUUUUAGCCCUGUUGGGUAGAAGGCCCACAGGAAUGAGGAGAUGCUGUGACACUGAUUGUAAUCUGUCUAGGUGAAAUGUAUUGGUGUCACUUAAUAAGAGGGUAAUGCAAGACUGUGCUAAGGACUUAAAGAGAUUUUCAUAGGGAACAGUAUAAUUCCUCUAGUAUCUUCUGACCAACCCACAGAAAUACUGAAGAUCAGAACCUGUAUCUGGUUCUCUGUAGAAUUUAAUAGAAAACAAAGGGUUUUAUAUCAGCUGACAUGCAGUAUGAUGCUGACAGUUUUCAAUCACAAAAAACCUAUUUGUGCCACUGUGCUGGAGGCUACAUAUCAGAAGACACAACUGCAAAGGCAGCCAGGAGACAUCAGCUCCCUCUUCCAGCCUGCUACUGGAAGAAUAGCCAAAUGCAGCUGAGAAUCACAAGGAACCACAGCUCACACCUCCAUUACUGAUUCUCAUACAGAUUACCUUAUCGCUAAUUAGCUUUUCCAUCAAGAGUGUCAGCUUCUUGUUUUUCUUUUUUUUACCAUGUCAGUAUUAGUGACAGUAAUAGUAUAUCUGAAACAACUUAUCAUAGAAUCCAGAGUUCCUGAUAUUCACUAAGCCUAGCACUAAAAUUCCUAUAAGAAGAACGUGGUGCUGAAGUACUGCCCCAAAGCAGGUGAUCCAGAGGGUGUGCAACCAUGGGUGAGAUCCUGGCAGUGCUCUGACCAUGAGCAGCACCUUCUCCAGUGAACUGUGCUUGGCCAUGGUGCUCUCCCUGAGCCACUGUUCCUUUUAGACAUGAGCUCUGUGCCCUGAGCUGCACUACUGCACAUAGGGUCUUAGAUUCCUGUAUCAAACAGAAAUGCAUCUGGCAAAAAUAGAAUAGUGAUUAGAAAUACAGGCCCACUUGUUUUAAGUGUUAUUGGAGCAGUUCCUAGAAAAAGGAACUGUGUUUGGAGGAGACAGUUCUGCAUACCAGCUGGAAGAGCACCAGCAGCGAUGCCCCCCAUGGUGAUGUGCAGCAGUGUUUGUGGAAAUGAAGGUACAGGGUGGAUCAAGAGCUCACACAGAUGACAACAGUCUCCACCCAGCAUACAUCCCUGGCCUAGGCCCAGGCUGCCACGUCACUCUGCCCUGGACUGGGAUCAAAGGGUUCAGCGUGAGCUCAGGAGGUCACACAGAGAGGAGAGAGCAGCAAUCUCCAGCUUCCAGCCUGCUCUUUGUUCAGUUCAUCCUUAGUUUCCCAGUUACGUUUGAGAUCCCAUCUAACUCUCACUAGUACAGCCACUGCCAGCGGUCUCAGGGAGAAGAGCAAUCAGCCUUGACUUCACAUUAACUUCCUCUGAAUUACAUUAAAGCCCUUUCCCGAAGAGCAUUUUAAAGCUUUUUGUUCAAGAGAGGGUGUAGACAGGAGCAAAGAAAAGUGAAGAAGAGACUGCAUACGUGGGGGAAGGAAUUAGAUUUUUAAAGAGUCUUUUGGAGUUAUUUCAAUUAACCUAGGUACCAGAAACCCCUGGAGAAAGGCUUCUCUUAGAGCCACUGAAGUAGAACAGAGCAUUUCAGGGUCUCACUUUCACAUUAAAAUAGCAGCAGCACAGCAAAAGCACUUUUGCUUCCAGCCCAUAUAGCUUCACAAACACACAGCAUGAACUUGAUGCCACGCAGCUCUCAAAAGCAGCUCACCUCUGGCCAGCUUUUCAGAGAGGUUGUCCAUGACCCAGUAUAGAUGAUGAACAUAGGCAGGACACCAUUUUGAGCCCUCAGGCACAGGGGCUCAGGAAGAGAAAGGAUCCAGGCAAUGCCAGUGCUUGUGGAACAGGAUGUGUGUUGGCCUUCACCUUGCUGGCUGCUAAUAAAUGCCUUGAAGCACCAAAUAUGAAAUAGCACCUGAGUGAGAGGACCAGUGUGCACUAUCAGAGUUUUCACAAGGUGGUUUCUUGAAGAAGUAUACCCCUUUACUGUGCUGCAGACGCAGUGUGUUUACUUUCAGAAUUUCUAAUCAAUGAAGAAAAAAAUAGAAAAACCUAGAAAUCUACAAUAGGAAAGUUCUUACCUAAAGGUCUCCCUGCAUUAGUGGCAGGAAUAAGAGAAUCCAACAUAGGCAGUCUCUCAGCUAUAAAUUUCUCAGGCUUUCAUCAAUGCUUAUAAUGCCAAGAAGAUCCCUAAAAGCCACCAGAUUCAGAGAAACUCACUGACUGGUUUGUUUGAGAGGAUUCUUGUCAUUUCUGUCUCAGACAGUUUAAUCAUUUUAUAAAGGAGAAACAAGUGUUUGUGUACAUUGGCCUGAGUACGUGCAGCAGUGUUUAAUCACAAGAGAAACAUGAAGCAGAGCAGUCAGAAGAGCAAGGCUGGUGAGUCUGCACAAAAUUCCACAGAGGAGAGUGUAGAGGUAAUUCUUUGAACGUGCCUAGGCCCAUCUAUAUUUGUUGCAAGCUAGCAGGCCAGGUUCCUCAAGCGGAGGCCCCUAAUUGACAAGCGUAUGGUCCUAAAGGCUGGAAACAGAUUGAUGUCUGAUACUGUAUAAAAGCCUAUUUCCUUUUGGCUCACAAGGGCUUGGCACUGCUGCUGAUACCACAAAUGUCUGAGCCCAGUAUCAGUGCGUACGUAGCAGAGUGAAUAUUUGCUGGAAACGGAGCCUAAAUUAUUCAUGGCAGGCUUUACAAUCUUAAAUCCUUUAAUUCCUUCAUGUCACCAGUACAAAAGAAAACACCAAUGUUCUCUACUUAUAGAUUUUGUAAAGCAGAAUUGAUCAGCAAGGCUUGACAGGUGAAACAAAAAAAAAAUUAAUUGUUAAACGUCAGUUACUGUAUCUCCCCUGCUCAAAUUAACAUAGCCAUUGCUAGAAACAGAAGCUGAGACUAAGCUUUCAAGAAAGCAUUGGACAUAUUUAUUUGUAGCUCAUUUGUAAUCAUCCAUCCCAGCAAUAUUUGCAUCUUCCUCCAAAUACUUGUUGCUGUUAUAGACAGGACUCGAGGCCAGAUGGGCCACAGGUUGGACCUAGUUACUUGGCAAUUCCUAUCAAUGCAUGUUUGUCUAGAUAAAUAACUUGCUGCCACUAGAAAGAGCAAAGGAGAUUUGAGUUCUUCAAACUCCUGUUCAGACUCUAAGCUCAGUAUCAAAAUACUGAACAAUAAUUAGUCAAGCACAGGUCCUGCUGCCUGCGUGCUUUCAUCAGGAGCUCUCAGAAACCUUUAGCUGUUAGAAUCAGGUUUCUCAUGAACAGGAGAACUCAUGAAUGGUCUCCUGGAGCUAUACUUUAUCUUCUCAAAGGCUGCUGGGGGAGCUUUCAGCUGGACAGUAUUGGCACACAUAAGAGAGAAAUCUUAGUUUGGACAGAAACACUUUCCACCUGGAAAUCCUUAACUCAUCUUUCUUUAGGAGGCAAAGGGCUAAGGGAGGAAUAAGGAAUACAACCAUUUUCAAGAGCAAUAGCCACAUCUUUCAUCUGGAGCUGAAUCUUACUGCUGAUUUUUACACGUUAUUUCUCAUUCCUGUGUUUGGAAGAGCAUCUCUCAGACCCCAAAGGGGAACUGGCUGCCUGCUACAGUUGGGCUAUGGAAAUACACUAUGAGAUGUUACCCAGUACAUAGGGCAAAGCAAGACAGACAGUUUUCUCUACUGGCAAGAAGCCUUAUGUGCUACUCAUAACAAUAGGAAUCAAAAAAAAAAAUAUUUUUUUCCAAGCUGACAGAUCUGCUUUCAAGUGUAGUGCCUAGUACAGUCUCACCACGAGUGCUUGUGAGGCCUUUUCCCAUACAGCAGAACAGACCAGACAGUCUGGCAGUCUCAAAAGGUGCAACAAGCAGCAACCCUGUUUCUCUCUGUCUAUACGCACACGCUCUACAAUCUUUCACAGAAACGUGCCAAAGCAAAUACCAAAUCAUCUGUAAUAUUUCAGAGAGAUACCCAAAGCUCACAGAUACUUUCCAUACUACCCCCAGAACAAUCCACUGUUUUCAUUAGCACAAAGGUGGAAAUACGCGUAGUAGAGAGAAAAGAGAUUAGUUUCAGAAAGGAACAUGAACAGAAGCAGGUUUUGGUUUGCUCAGGAUUCACUCUGAUCCCAGCAGAAUCAGCGCCAAAGCUGAGCACUAGGGUGCCGGACUGGGUCCACCUCACACAAGACAUCACAUUUCGUUUCCAGAUGAGGUUAAGUGCCAGUUGCAACUCUUCAAAAUCCCAUCCUCUCUAGCACAGACAGAUUUGCUUGGAAGUGGCUGAUAUAUUCUCAUCCUCCUGGCUCAGAUGCAAUCUCUGGUUAUAAAAUAGCAACAAGGUUGAAAGAGAGACAGAAUGUCAGCCAGGCUAGCCAGACUAAAUGAGUUGAUGUACCUGAAGAACUGCAAGGUCCCAUUCAGAAUGGCUCGGGAGAGACCAAACAUCUCAUAGGCUUACAAUGAAUCUCCUGUGCAUAGGAACAUUGUGAGAUGAGACCAGUUAACAAAUGGCCAGAUUGCAACUCAGAAAUGUCAAUAUGGCAUUAGCGGAGUGCUUCGGAGUUCAGUUCAGUUUCCUUGUUAUUUCCACAUGGUUUGUGAAAACCAACAACAAAUACUAAAGCCUGAAAAGCACAUCUUUGAAGCCCAGCAACAGCUGAAGUACUCCCUGCUUUUUCCUACUACUGCACUAUACCUCAGUUGUGCCAAGAUAAACUUCCAUGAAACUAUGACAGGAAUCAAUUUAAAAAAAAAAAAACACCAAACCAAAUGAAAGUAAGGUUACUUUUAAGCUGAACUUGAUUUGCCAUGUAGCUACACCUACCUUUGCUGACAUCACCAAUUAAACAAUGCAGGAAUGCGAGGCUAUCCCUACUGCAAAAGAAAUGCUCCUCAGAUUGCAUCCUAAGGGAAGCCAGGCUCACUUUUCAGUAGACUACGGUACACUUUCUGAUGGGAAAUAUCAGUCAGCUAGUUCUGACUAUCUAAUCAUCUAAUCCAUUUAGCUCACUUAAAUUAGUGAUAUUGAAGCUAGGUCAAGGACUUGAGCAUCUGCUUGCUGCUAGGUUCCCCCCCCAGUGAUCUCGUCUCCAAGUUGAACAAACCAAGGUCCUCAGUCUCCUCUCCCAGGGCAAGUGUCCCAGCUCCAACCAUCUGUGGAGAACCUCAAGGUUUCCCAAUUGCAAUUUUGUUUUCUGGUCUAAAUUCUCACUUACAAACCUGCACUCACAAGACACUCCAAGUGAAAGUCAGGAUAAAUCUCCUGGAUGACUUGUGACUCUCACAUGAAACCACUAUAACAAAAAUUUAACCACUGUUGCGGUAAGAACCUUAAGCAACAAAGAUAACUGUUCCAGACACUGCCUCCAGAUCAGCUUCCCAUGGUCACUGAUGGGAUUGCACGUGAAGGUCAUGGGAAGCUUCAAGUUUAAAAAGGCAUUCCAAAAUAAAGAAACAAAAGCAGGGAUAUCUCACAUUUGUCUGCUAAACUGAAGGAAUCUAACUUGUUCAUAUGAGAUUCAUUCAGAAAAAGCAAAAUUUGCAUAAAUUUGGAGGUUCCUCCACACAGCACAGAUCACACUGAAGGCAGGGAUGAAAGCAAGACAAACUGGAAAAAAGAAAAAAAGGUGUCAGGAUACCUUUGCCUUCCACCUUUACUUUCCCAAAGUUAGUUCAAACCAUUAAAUCAAAAGAGCUCACAGAGGCCAACAGCUGACAAUCAGGGCUGACUAGUAAACCUCAGUCUAAAGGAGGGAUUCAUUUCAAGCCCCUUUCUCUCAAAAAGGAAAUUAAAUAAAGUAGAGCAAGGCUAAUUUUAAAUUAAUAUGUAAAAAAGUACAUAUUGUACCCUGUUAAUGCCACUCAACUUUAUCUAUGCCAAAUGCCCUAACUCAUUUAUCCUUAUGUAGUCUCUAUUUACUUUCAGUGUUUCUCCCUCGGUAAAGAAUGAAGAUUAGAUGAGUCAUUUAGGUUUUUCUUUUUUACUUUCUCAUUUUGAGUGAUAAGUCAGCUAUAGUCUACAGAAAUUCAUGUUUCUCUAUAUUCAGCAGAGAAAGACUGAAGAAGACAUUGAAGUGACUGAUACUAGCCACACACAGAAGAGUUAACCUUUGCAAGUGCUCUCCUCUCCAGUCUUAAGUGCUGUAACUUCCGUGCUGCAAGCAUGGCAGGAGGAAGUUUUCUUUGCUUAAUAAAUGUGUCUAUUAAUUUACUUUCAUAUUACAUUUCCCGAGGGAAAGAAAGCACUAAACUUCCCAUUCUCUUAUUUUAAAUGCAGUGUAAGAUACAUUUUAGACCUAGGAUUCAUGCAGCUCCUUAGUUUUUAGAAAUCCUUCUUAUACCCACAUCUUCAGAAUUACAUGACACACACUGCUUAUGAGCAAUGUCAUAAGUACAGAUCACUAAACACCUGAAAAAUGAAGAAAUAAUAGACUCAGAGAAGCCCACAUCUUAAGGUAGCAUGUGAAAUUCUGGUCAUGCCAGGAAGCAUGCAGUAAAAUGAGGAGGGGGACAGAUACAGAGGUGCCUAGGGUGGUCAGAAGAAUGGGUCAGCUUCCGAAAAGGUCUAACUAAAUAAACCCUGGAAAAAGAGACAGCAAAGCAAGACGAGGCAAAGAUCUCUACAAAGCAGGAAAAGUGAACAAUUAUUUGCUGCUUUUCUUAACAUCAGAGCAAGAAGGUGCUUGCUAAAAGAAAUCAUCAGGAGAAAGUUCAAAAACAAGAAGUACUACUUUACAGAGAUAUGUGACAGAGGCCCCAUGCAACGUACUACCACAGGACCUUUUAAAGUUCAAGACGGACCAAAGGUUCAAGAAGCGAUCAAACAAAAUAAUAGAAGAAAUGUGCCUUAAGAGCUGUUAGUUGUAGAAGGGCACGAAUAUAUCCCACCACAGAGAACACCCUGAAAGUGCAGAUUGGAAUAAUCAGAGAAGGCUAUAAUUUGGCUGGUGCUGUUGUAUGUUUGUCCCAUUUCUUGUUUUCCUUCACUAAGUCCUUGCUGUCAGCCAGUUAGACAUGGGAAAGAGAAGGCACACGAGAGCUAAAAGGCCUUGCUCCUGUGUUCUCCCUUCAGGAUUAGACCACUUGAGCUGGCACGCUCUGUCACUUAGCCAGGCUUCAGAGGUGACAGUGUCAAGCCAGCUGAGAAGAAGCACCACAACAUCAUGAUAUGGUUCUGAGAAAAAUGAUCCCUCUUUCUCGUGCUAUAGCUUGUCAUAUAAUAGCAAUAAUCACAAUUGCUUUGUAAUAUACUCAGAGCUGCUUUGGAGAUUGAUUAAAUGCUUCAGCUUCCCUUUAGCUUUAAUCAAACCCAGCAGCUGUUUAUCACUCAGAAUACUUAGAUCAAUAGAGCUUACACCUUACAUACACCUUUAAAAUAGCGUGCCCUGUACCAGCUCCCUUGAAGCUGCAAGUAGCAAUUAUAAUAAGUGAUCAUACACUGUAGAGCUAAAAGUAGAGGUUAAAAACUGAUAAAAUCACCACAACCAGUAGGAUGACACUUUCAAAAAACAGCCUUCCUACUUGCAAAUUUUUCCUAAGAUCUUAAUUUAAAAAAAAAAAAAAAGUCAGGAAGGGCUACGGCCAAAUGUGCUCAGCCCUAGCAUCAGAUUGAACACACAGACUACUAGAUAGAGCAAGGCAGCUGCUCCAUAAGCUGUGGACCUCUUCCCCGAGAGCCCAGUAGCAGAGGAAAGUCCAUGGACAGGGCUGCAUGAAAUCCCAAACACUAAUUAGAAUACCUCAUCUUUAGUUGGAAUGGUGUAAGGAUAGGAGGCAGUUGAUAUAGUUAACCAGUUUCAGAACACUCAAGAAAGGUAGAGGUCACAAUUCAAUAAUAAAGAAGGACUAGCUUACCCCUUUUCAAGGAUCAGUGCUCACUAGAAACUCCCAGGUAAGACGAUCUCCAAGGAAAAAUGCCUCCCCUUUUGACUGCCAGCCCUUAAAUGAGGUUCGGGUGAAUUGCUUGCACCUGUGCUACCAGAGCUGGCUAUACCCCUUCAACAGGUGCUCAAUCACUGGUUCAGGCUGUGACCUAGCAGUUCCUAUACAAAUGGAUAAUGACUACAGAUAUCUAUUUUACUCAUUCUGUGAGAUACACUUCUGUCUUGUAACUGAGUUGAGCCAGCAGUUUCAGAGAUCUAACAACAAUAAAGCUAAGAGCAUAUUUUAAUUACAUAAAAAUUAGCAAAUCCUACUGAAGAUAGCAUGAAAGCUUUUACUGACACAUGUGAAUCCAGGAUGUCCCUCUCCAUGUUAAUCAUGGUAAAUUAAGUGAAUGGAAGUUGAACUCCAGGCAUAAAAUCAUCAAAUCCAGACGAAACAUAUUGGAACAGUCCAUUUCAUCAUGCUGCCAGACAAGACAAGACAAACUCUUGGCUGGUGCCUUGAAAAGACAAAUAUUUGGAUAGGAAAAGAAAGAGAGAAUAAAAUCAUUGCUUCUAAAAUGAUAUGUUAUGGAAAAUUAUUGCAUCACUUUUACUAGCAGUUCACAGCUACUCAUUAAUUUUGCAAAAUUGCAGCAGCUCUGACUCUCUGAGGUCUUCUAGAGCAGCAGCUUCUUACUUGUUCAUAAGGGGACAAAAAAGCUGUGCUCAAGAGGUGACAAGAUUUGGUUCAUUUUAUACACAGUUGGGACAUGAGUUUGAAAGAUGGGACAUUAAGGCUGUGUUUUUCCAGUCACACGCACACAAAAAUGCAGGCCCUUUUCCCAGAAAGAAAGGUUGUGUAAAGUGGUAUUAAUGUCACGUUAAGUCAAGAAAGAUAUAGCAGACAGCAGCCACUGGGAUUUAGGAGCACUUUAGGUGGGCCAGCCUUCAAACCCUCACCUGUUCCUGGCACCGAAAAGGGAGAAUGAGAAAAUUGGCACAUCACUUAUAGAAGCUCUGCAAAAAUGCAACAUACUACAUUUCCUUUCUUAGACACUGAGGUGUGAUAAGGAAAAGAUCAUUAAAAUCCAGUUAAGAGGGGAGGUAGGGAAAACACUAUUGGUGCUCAUAAGGCCUCAGCCUUCCAGUAGACUGGGGGAAGGAGAAAGGAAAUAACAUGAGAUCAAGGCAAACAGCUGCUGUCAUCCUUUUGUGUCCUUCACAAAAGGAGGAAUGCUGGAUAAUCCAGUGCUUUUUGGCUUUAUUUUGUUUUGCUGCAUUUUUCAUACCUGCCUAGGACUCUAGCUCUUAAAAAAAGAGGGAAGUGGGGGAAGACAGGCUCUUCAAGUUAUUUUUAUGAGCCCAGCUAGCAUUUCACACAUUUCAAUUUCUGCCAGUGUGUGUUCCAUUUCACACUGCUAUCUGCUUGAAAGCGUCUUGCGAGGGGAGGGAGGGAGAUACCAGCCAAAAUAGUUUUGAAUGCUCUUUAUUAUAUGCAGAUCAAGCAAUUCUUAUUAACUCAGUUUCAGUUCUUCCUUCAUAGGUAGCAGCGCUGUGAUAUUAUUUGCAGGCAGCCAAGGUAAUUACCAUCCAGCAGGGUCCAAUUGUUUUCAAUUAAAAGCUUGACUGAAGUCUUUAGUUUUUAAUACCAUUGUGACCAUCUGCUUUCACUGAAGUUCAUCAGCAAAGGCACAGGCCUCAUUCUAAUGCUGCUUAAUUAUAUAGAGGAACUUUUUUUUUUUUUUUUUUUGGUCAGAGAUUCAUUUUUCCCUGCUAAAGAAAUGGGCAGCAAAGGGGCUACGUGUCUUUGCUAAUAGCCUGCAGCAAGAUGGAGCAGCCGGGAAGAUCAUUACCUUCCUGGGAGAUCCAGCUGUUACUGCACUGACAAGAAGAUCCAGGGGACCAAGAGCAGAAAGCAGUUAACCUUUGCUGCCUUGCUCUUCAUUCAGUCACUUGCCUCCCUCUAUCUUCCAGCAAAUCUGAAAGGGCCAGAAGGAAGAGGUGAUCAUCUUAAAACAUGCAGUGCAACCCCUGAUGAUCACGCUUUCAGACUGUGUUGCUGGCUGGGGUUGCACACAGGCUCUCCCACAUGGGCAUGCAUGCACUCCCUCCUUCUUGCACAUGUGGCAAAUGCUUUGCAGUCCUGUAUCAUCUCAGAUGUGAGGAUCUCCAAAUCCCUUACAGGCAUUCAUUAAGCCCUACACGAUCCCCAGGAGAAGUAAAUAUAAUUUUCCAGAUGGGGAAAUCAGGACAGUAAGAGGUUAAGUGACUAGCCUGAGGCCAAACAAUAAAUAAGUGGCAGAAUCAGCGUGAGGAUCUGCCAAGUCCCAAGUUUAACACAAGUCUCCUGAGCGUUCAUCACCAGAAAAGGAAAAAUGACACCCUCACAUCCUCAAAACACUUAAAUGAAGCCCUGUUUUAUAUGUGCCAGAGCUAAUGCGCACAGCUCUUAACAUUGCCAACUGUGAAGAGAACAGCAUUUUGCAGAUUCAAUGCAGAAACCACUGUCUCCAGGCAGGAAGCACACUGAUCUUGCUCCAUGCUAUCCACCCAGGCAGGCACACAGCUUCCUUACAGGUGCCUGCUGCCAUUUAUGUUGCACACAGCUAUACCAAGGAUCAGCCCCCUGAGAUACAAGUACUUUGCCAAGUGCCAGUUAAAAGAGGAAGUAUUUGCAGUACUACACUGUAAGACAACAGGAAGAGCUAAACUGGUGAACAGCACUGCUUUAGUGGCAGUCUCUGAAUCACUCGGCAAUGGAGCCAGAAUCCUUUCCAUCUUCUUGGCCAGCCACACAGGCAUACCCUUCUCUCUAGUAAAUCCCACAGCCAUUCAUCUGAAACUUAAAUCUCUGCUCCUCACUAAACCCUCGGAGAGAUGGAAGUUGGCUUUUGCCCUCACUGCUGGAGGAGUCUCUCUCCUUGGGGCUCAUCUUCACACUCAGUACAGAUAACGCUUCUUCCUAUAGGUCAUCUGGCCUUCUCUGAGCUAGCUUAUCAGUCAGGACUGGAUCCACUUUAAGGUUGUUAUACAGCCAAGUCCCAGUUUGCUAUGCAGUACUGAGAUCUCUACAGCUCCUAUACAGCAAAGGCAUUAAAAUGAGAAUCUGAGGCUUGGGAGAUAAUUACUCCAGAAAAUGGUCUAAAUGACUUCAGUAUUUUGAAAGGCUUGAGGUGUUGCUGUUAACUACACUCAGCUAUUGCAAAUGUAAAGCAAUUUGUUUCCAUACAGAUUUCCUUUAAAGCUACAUGUAUGUGUCCUAAAUACAUAAUUACACACCAGAGUAUAAUGGCUCAUUCAGGUUUAUUUCAUAACCAAUAGGCAUUUUAAAAGCAAUUUCUGGAGGAAUAUGCAGCGAACAUACAGCAUAGGUUCCAGAAGGUGGUUUCCUUGCAUUUUUCCUCAUAAGAAGCUCUCAAAGUUCUAUUUCCGCCCAAGAAAAAAGUGAGAAUAAAUAAACCCUUUCUUUAAGAAUUACCUUGAGGGAAACAUAAUGACCCUAUUAAGAAAAUAGUCCAGUAAACACAUUUUUGGCAUGAACAUCCUGUGAAUUGGAUGGCCUAGGAAAUUGCUAGUAAGAUUUUGCAGUCUUUCUGAUUGAAACUAAUCUGUGUUCAUAGCAAGUCAGCACAGCUAUUCCAAAGAGUUAUUUUGUCACCUAUACAAAAAUCACUUGGCAGCGUCCAUUUGGGCAGCUCUUAUGGAGUUAUGUGUGCACUGCAAGAAUUACAGAGGAAUUUCUGUUCUUUUCCAAAAUAAUCCUUAUAAUCUCUCAAGAAGCUGGUAUCUGGUGAAAAGUCCUGCAGUGACAGGAGCAAUAAUACAACAGUGCACACAGAUGAAAGAUUUGAACAGCACUAGUACUGUAGAGAGUAACCUAAGUUGACCAUAGAAUCAUAGAAUAUCCUGAGAUAGUAGGGAGUCACAAGGAUCAUAAAAUCCAACUCUUGGCUCCACACUAGAUAUCCUCCCCCUCCCCAGAAAUAAAUAAAUACAUAAAUAAAACAAAACGAAAUGUAUUACAUCGUUGUGCAAACACCUCUUUGAGGUUCAAGACAACCACUCUCAUUUAAGUUAUUAGUGAGGUGCUGCUUUAUUCUUCUGUUAUUCCAUGAGUUGCUGUAACACAAGCAGCUGCCUUUCAACAGGCAAAAGUGACCAGCAGUGCCUUUCCUCACCUCUCCUCAGGAGCUCCUGCCCCUGCAAAGAGCACUGAGUUCAUCCUGCUUAAUUGGAAGCAUUUAAAAUUGAGAUGCUGAAAUCAGGUACCACCAACAUCAAUAAACAGGCACUUCCAAAGGGCACCAAAGAUCUGAAUCUCCCAUCAGAUGUUCUUCUCUUUCUCUAUAAACUACAGAGACAAUUUAGCACAAACAAGCUCUUAACUCUGGCACCUCAGUUAAUCACUUAAAGAAAAAUAAAAAGUAAUUAGUUCUGCAUCUUUGAAACUGCCUGUUUAGCUAUAUUUAAGCAGAAGAGCUACAGGAUUUUAAAACAUCCCUAUUUUAAAGAUGAGAGGUAGAUAAAUGACUCAUCUUUUUCCGUAUGGUCAUUGUGCUUGUGAAUAGGUGAAGCAAAGCAUGGUAUCUCGGGGAAUUUGGUCUGAGAUUUUAGAGGCAACAGUAUCUCUAUGGCCUUGAUCAUAAGCCUGCACCCCAAGAAGCAAAGCCAAUGGUGUAGUCUGUAGGAAUCCAGUUAGGCAAGGGGGUAGGAAGCUGUAAAUCAAGAUAAGUAUCAUGGUUCUAUGGCACCCUUCAUGAAAAGAAAUAAAUUAAUGUACACUGCCACACAGGGAGGUUUUGCCUGUGUUGAUAAGAGGGACUGAAACAAGCAUGCUGAAGGCAAUCCAGGUUUAGCAAAAGAAGGAGGAAUUCUGAACUGCAUUAUGGACAAAUAUGAGACUAUGCUCAAUACCAAAUUUCAUACACCAAGCAUACAGCUCAUCCCAGUUACUCUCUAUUUAUGAGACUGUAGCCCAACACACCUGUACUGUGUAGAAAUGUGGUUUGAUGGCUCCACUGCGACCUCAUGGGCCCUCAUGGACAAGGCCUUCAUUUAGAUAUCCAUGAAGUACAACAAUACAUUUCUCACUUUGUUCCUAGAUUUACAAAUAAGUCUGAGGGCAGCUGACAAGGAUAGAGACAAUGGAUGAAAAGUAAAAAUCUCUUCCUGUUUCCUUUACUAUAUUUCAAUCUAACUUAAUUAAAGUCAAGAAUCCAAAUGUCAUUUUUCUGUAUAUUUACUCUUUGGAUAAGUUCAAUAAAAAUACAAGAAAAAAAAUCUAAGUUAUUUAAAAUACUACACAUGUCCAGAAGGUCUGCAGCACCUCCUUGCUG
ensembl:lncRNA